rnacentral:rRNA from 1 species
GGACAAGUACCGUGAGGGAAAGGUGAAAAGUACCCCGGGAGGGGAGUGAAAUAGUGCCUGAAACCGUGUGCCUACAAGCCGUUGGAGCCUGAAAGAUCUUCGGAUCAGGGUGACAGCGUGCCUUUUGAAGAAUGAGCCUGCGAGUUAGUGAUAUGUGGCGAGGUUAACCCGUGAGGGGCAGCCGUAGCGAAAGCGAGUUCGAAUAGAGCGAUUGAGUCGCAUGUCCUAGACCCGAAGCGGAGUGAUCUACCCAUGGCCAGGUUGAAGCGAAGGUAAGACUUCGUGGAGGACCGAACCCACCAAUGUUGAAAAAUUGGGGGAUGAGCUGUGGGUAGGGGUGAAAGGCCAAUCAAACUCCGUGAUAGCUGGUUCUCCCCGAAAUGCAUUUAGGUGCAGCGUCACGUGUUUCUUGUCGGAGGUAGAGCACUGGAUGGGCUAGGGGGCCUACAAGCUUACUGAACUCAACCAAACUCCGAAUGCCGAUAAGUGAGAGCGUGGCAGUGAGACUGUGGGGGAUAAGCUUCAUAGUCGAGAGGGAAACAGCCCAGACCACCAACUAAGGCCCCUAAGCGUGUGCUAAGUGGGAAAGGAUGUGGAGUUGCAUAGACAACCAGGAGGUUGGCUUAGAAGCAGCCACCCUUAAAAGAGUGCGUAAUAGCCCACUGGUCAAGUGAUUCCGCGCCGACAAUGUAACGGGGCUCAAGCACAUCGCCGAAGUUGUGGCAUUUACACCGAUAACCCGGCCGUAAGGUCCAGGUGUGUAGAUGGGUAGGGGAGCGUCGUGUGGCGAGCGAAGCGGCGGGGAAACCCAGCCGUGGACGCCACACGAGUGAGAAUGCAGGCAUGAGUAGCGAAAGACGGGUGAGAAACCCGUCCUCCGGAAGACCAAGGGUUCCAGGGCCAGGCUAAUCCGCCCUGGGUAAGUCGGGACCUAAGACGAGGCCGACAGGCGUAGUCGAUGGACAACGGGUUGAUAUUCCCGUACCGGUUUACACGCGCCCAUGACGAGCACAGUGAUGCUAAGCCCACAAGAUCGAGGAUCUCUUCGGAGUGAAUCGGUGGCGUGCGCGAACCGAACUGUUAGUAGUCAAGCAAUGGGGUGACGCAGGAAGGUAGCUCAACCGCGGCGAUGGUAGUCCGCGGCUAAGGUUGUAGGGCGAGAUGUAGGCAAAUCCGCAUCUCAUACGCCUGAGAACUGAUGGGGAGCCGAUUUAGGCGAAGUGAGUGAUCCUAUGCUGCCGAGAAAAGCCUCUAGCGAGUGUGUAAGCCGCCCGUACCCCAAACCGACACAGGUGGUCAGGUAGAGAAUACCGAGGCGAUCGAGUGAACUGUGGUUAAGGAACUCGGCAAAUUGCCCCCGUAACUUCGGGAGAAGGGGGGCCGCGGCUGGUGACGGGACUUGCUCCCUGAGCUGGCUACGGCCGCAGAGACCAGGUGGAAGCGACUGUUUACUAAAAACACAGGUCCAUGCAAAGUCGCAAGACGACGUAUAUGGACUGACGCCUGCCCGGUGCUGGAACGUUAAGGGGACCAGUUAGUUCUUCGGAGCGAAGCUGAGAACUUAAGCGCCAGUAAACGGCGGUGGUAACUAUAACCAUCCUAAGGUAGCGAAAUUCCUUGUCGGGUAAGUUCCGACCUGCACGAAUGGCGUAACGACUUCCACGCUGUCUCAACCGCAGACUCGGCGAAAUUGCACUACGAGUAAAGAUGCUCGUUACGCGUGGCAGGACGGAAAGACCCCGGGACCUUUACUACAGCUUGGUAUUGGUGGUCGGUUCGAUUUGUGUAGGAUAGGUGGGAGACUUGGAAGCCCGGACGCCAGUUCGGGUGGAGUCAUCGUUGAAAUACCACUCUGAUCGUAUUGGCUGUCUAACCUCGAUCCGUGAUCCGGAUUAGGGACAGUGCCUGGUGGGUAGUUUAACUGGGGCGGUUGCCUCCCAAAAAGUAAC